rnacentral:rRNA from 1 species
CAUGCAAGUCGAGGGGCAGCAUGGUCUUAGCUUGCUAAGGCUGAUGGCGACCGGCGCACGGGUGAGUAACACGUAUCCAACCUGCCGUCUACUCUUGGCCAGCCUUCUGAAAGGAAGAUUAAUCCAGGAUGGCAUCAUGAGUUCACAUGUCCGCAUGAUUAAAGGUAUUUUCCGGUAGACGAUGGGGAUGCGUUCCAUUAGAUAGUAGGCGGGGUAACGGCCCACCUAGUCAACGAUGGAUAGGGGUUCUGAGAGGAAGGUCCCCCACAUUGGAACUGAGACACGGUCCAAACUCCUACGGGAGGCAGCAGUGAGGAAUAUUGGUCAAUGGGCGAUGGCCUGAACCAGCCAAGUAGCGUGAAGGAUGACUGCCCUAUGGGUUGUAAACUUCUUUUAUAAAGGAAUAAAGUCGGGUAUGCAUACCCGUUUGCAUGUACUUUAUGAAUAAGGAUCGGCUAACUCCGUGCCAGCAGCCGCGGUAAUACGGAGGAUCCGAGCGUUAUCCGGAUUUAUUGGGUUUAAAGGGAGCGUAGAUGGAUGUUUAAGUCAGUUGUGAAAGUUUGCGGCUCAACCGUAAAAUUGCAGUCGAUACUGGAUGUCUUGAGUGCAGUUGAGGCAGGCGGAAUUCGUGGUGUAGCGGUGAAAUGCUUAGAUAUCACGAAGAACUCCGAUUGCGAAGGCAGCCUGCUAAGCUGCAACUGACAU